rnacentral:rRNA from 1 species
UCUACGGGAGGCUGCAGUGAGGAAUAUUGGUCAAUGGCCGUAAGGCUGAACCAGCCAAGUCGCGUGAAGGAAGAAGGACCUAUGGUCUGUAAACUUCGUUUAUAGGGGAGUAAAGGUAUCCACGUGUGUAUAUUCGCUUGUACCCUAUCAAUCAGGAUCGGCUAACUCCGUGCCAGCAGCCGCGGUAAUACGGAGGAUGCGAGCGUUGUCCGGAUUUAUUGGGUUUAACGGGUGCGUAGGUUGUGUUUUAAGUCAGCUGUGAAAGGUUGUGGCUCAACCAUAAAAUUGCCGUGGAAACUGGAAGACUUGAGUGUGUUUGAGGUGGGUGGAAUGCGAGGUGUAGCGGUGAAAUGCAUAGAUAUAACGCAGAACUCCGAUUGCGAAGGCAGCUUACUAAGCUAUAACUGACACUGAGGCACGAAAGCGUGGGGAGCAAACAGGAUUAGAUACCCUUGUAGUC